AUUGAACGCUGGCGGCAUGCCUUACACAUGCAAGUCGAACGGUAACAGGUCUUCGGAUGCUGACGAGUGGCGAACGGGUGAGUAAUACAUCGGAACGUGCCUAGUAGUGGGGGAUAACUACUCGAAAGAGUGGCUAAUACCGCAUGAGAUCUACGGAUGAAAGCAGGGGAUCGCAAGACCUUGUGCUACUAGAGCGGCCGAUGGCAGAUUAGGUAGUUGGUGGGAUAAAAGCUUACCAAGCCGACGAUCUGUAGCUGGUCUGAGAGGACGAUCAGCCACACUGGGAAUGAGACACGGCCCAGGAUCCUACGGGAGGCAGCAGUGGGGAAUUUUGGACAAUGGGCGAAAGCCUGAUCCAGCAAUGCCGCGUGCAGGAUGAAGGCCUUCGGGUUGUAAACUGCUUUUAUACGGAACGAAAAGCCCCGGGUUAAUACCCUGGGGUCAUGACGGUACCGUAAGAAUAAGCACCGGCUAACUACGUGCCAGCCGCCGCCGUAA
rnacentral:rRNA from 1 species